rnacentral:rRNA from 1 species
UACGUAGGGGGCAAGCGUUGUCCGGAAUUAUUGGGCGUAAAGCGCGCGCAGGCGGUCAUUUAAGCCUGGUGUUUAAUCCCGGGGCUCAACCCCGGAUCGCACUGGAAACUGGGUGACUUGAGUGCAGAAGAGGAGAGUGGAAUUCCACGUGUAGCGGUGAAAUGCGUAGAUAUGUGGAGGAACACCAGUGGCGAAGGCGACUCUCUGGGCUGUAACUGACGCUGAGGCGCGAAAGCGUGGGGAGCAAACGGG